rnacentral:rRNA from 1 species
GAUGAACGCUGGCGGCGUGCCUAAUACAUGCAAGUCGAGCGAACAGACGAGGAGCUUGCUCCUCUGACGUUAGCGGCGGACGGGUGAGUAACACGUGGAUAACCUACCUAUAAGACCGGGAUAACUUCGGGAAACCGGAGCUAAUACCGGAUAAUAUAUUGAACCGCAUGGUUCAAUAGUGAAAGACGGUUUUGCUGUCACUUAUAGAUGGAUCCGCGCCGCAUUAGCUAGUUGGUAAGAUAACGGCUUACCAAGGCGACGAUGCGUAGCCGACCUGAGAGGGUGAUCGGCCACACUGGAACUGAGACACGGUCCAGACUCCUACGGGAGGCAGCAGUAGGGAAUCUUCCGCAAUGGGCGAAAGCCUGACGGAGCAACGCCGCGUGAGUGAUGAAGGUCUUCGGAUCGUAAAACUCUGUUAUUAGGGAAGAACAAAUGUGUAAGUAACUAUGCACGUCUUGACGGUACCUAAUCAGAAAGCCACGGCUAACUACGUG